rnacentral:rRNA from 1 species
UGGGAGGUAAAUUUCUCCUAAGGCUAAAUAUCGGCGAGAGACCGAUAGCGAACAAGUACCGUGAGGGAAAGAUGAAAAGAACUUUGAAAAGAGAGUAAAAUAGUACGUGAAAUUGUUGAAAGGGAAACGAUUGAAGUCAGUCGUACCGACGAGAAAUCAACUUAUCGUGUGCGAACUUGUGGGCGUGCGUGAGUUUCGGCCUCGCUGUUUGCAUGUUUGUGCGUUUUGGGUGUACUUUUUCGUAUGGUAGGCCAACAUCAGUUUCGAUUACUAUAAAAUGACUGGCGGAAUGUAGCUUCGAUUUCGGUUGAAGUGCUAUAGCCUCUGGUAGAUGUGGUGAUUGGGACUGAGGAUUGCAACGAAUAUCCUUUGGGCUAUCCGUCUGAUCUCUGAAAGUUGCUCAGGUGCCAAAAGCGUGCUUACGGUCAUCUAAGUUGACGGUCAAUAGGUUAGAACGUGAUUACAUUCGUUAAGGAUGUUGGCGUAAUGGCUUUAAACGACCCGUCUUGAAACACGGACCAAGGAGUCUAACAUAUAUGCGAGUGUUCGGGUGUUCAAACCCCUACGCGUAAUGAAAGUAAUUUUGGUGGGAUCACUUUUGUGUGCACCAUCGACC